UGGGGAAUUUUGGACAAUGGGGGCAACCCUGAUCCAGCCAUGCCGCGUGAGUGAAGAAGGCCUUCGGGUUGUAAAGCUCUUUCGGCCGGGAAGAAAUCGCAUGGGCCAAUACCCUGUGUGGAUGACGGUACCGGAAUAAGAAGCACCGGCUAACUACGUGCCAGCAGCCGCGGUAAUACGUAGGGUGCGAGCGUUAAUCGGAAUUACUGGGCGUAAAGCGUGCGCAGGCGGUUUUGUAAGACAGGCGUGAAAUCCCCGGGCUUAACCUGGGAACUGCGUUUGUGACUGCAAGGCUAGAGUACGGCAGAGGGGGGUGGAAUUCCACGUGUAGCAGUGAAAUGCGUAGAGAUGUGGAGGAACACCAAUGGCGAAGGCAGCCCCCUGGGUCGAUACUGACGCUCAUGCACGAAAGCGUGGGUAGCAAACAGG
rnacentral:rRNA from 1 species